GCACCCUCGCCGUAAGCCCAAGGUUUCCUGCGCAACGUUCAUCGGCGCAGGGUGAGUCGGCCCCUAAGGCGAGGCAGAAAUGCGUAGUCGAUGGGAAACAGGUCAAUAUUCCUGUACCGCUCUAUGAUGCGAUGGGGGACGGAGAAGGUUAGCUCGGCCAUCUGUUGGAAUAGGUGGUUUAAGCGUGUAGUCGUGCCGCGUAGGCAAAUCCGCGUGGCUUAGAUGAGGCGUGAUGACGAGGAUCCUCGGAUCCGAAGUGAGUGAUACCCAGCUUCCAGGAAAAGCCUCUAAGCUUCAGUCAUAGAGUGACCGUACCGCAAACCGACACAGGUGGGCUGGUAGAGAAUACCAAGGCGCUUGAGAGAACUCAGGAGAAGGAACUCGGCAAAUUGAUACCGUAACUUCGGGAG
rnacentral:rRNA from 1 species